rnacentral:rRNA from 1 species
UACGACUACAUAUCAGGCAUAUCAAUAAGCGGAGGAAAAGAAACUAACAAGGAUUCCCCUAGUAACGGCGAGUGAAGCGGGAAGAGCUCAAAUUUGAAAUCUUAAAGGGUUUCCCUUUACGAAUUGUAGUUUAAAGAAGUGUUUUCUGUUGGAGUUUCGGUAAAAGUUCUUUGGAAUAGGACAUCAUAGAGGGUGAGAAUCCCGUAUUUGACCGUUACUUUCCAGCUGUGUGAUACACUUUCAAAGAGUCGGAUUGUUUGGGAAUGCAGUCCAAGAUGGGUGGUAAAUUUCAUCUAAAGCUAAAUAUUGGCGAGAGACCGAUAGCGAACAAGUACCGUGAGGGAAAGAUGAAAAGAACUUUGAAAAGAGAGUUAAACAGUACGUGAAAUUGUCAAAAGGGAAGCGUUUGACACCAGUGUUGUUUAGUUGAAAAUCAAUUCAAUAGUUUUUGAUUCUAAGUAGUAUUGACUUCAUCAGCUUGCUGCUUUCUUCUCAGAAAUUAUUGAAUGCACUUUUCAGUUAACAAGUCAACAUCGAUUUCUUUCGUUGUAAAAGGGUAAGAGGAAGGUGGCUUGCGCUUCGGCUCAAGUGUUUAUAGCCUUUUAUCUCUGCAAUCGGAGAGAUUGAGGUCUGCAGCGUAGAUCCUUCGGGGUUAGAUACAUUGGUGCUAAGCUAUAGCCUUGUAUAGACAACUUGUUGACUAUGCUCAGUCAUGUAGCUUACUCGCUGAUGCUAUUUUACCUACGCUUAGGAUGUUGAUCUACAGAGCGAGAGU